rnacentral:rRNA from 1 species
CGAACGCUGGCGGCGUGCCUAAAACAUGCAAGUCGAACGAGGUAGCAAUACCUAGUGGCGAACGGCGGAGUAAUACAUGAACAACGUGCCCUAAAGUCCGGGACAAACGCAGAAAUGUCAUAAAUACCGGAUGUGGUGGAGGGAUGGCAUCAUCAUUCCAUUAAAUGGUUUUUCGCUUUAGGAGCGGCUCAUGGCCUAUCAGGUAGUUGGUGGGGUAAUGGCCUACCAAGCCGACGACAGGUAGCGGGUCUGAGAGGAUGAUCCGCUCGAGUGGGACUGAGACGCGGCCCACACACCUACGGGUGGCAGCAGUUGGGAAUCUUGCACAAUGGGGGAAACCCUGAUGCAGCGACGCCGCGUGGAGGAUGACGGAUCUAGGUCUGUAAACUCCUUUUUCAUGGAAAGACUUAGGACGGUACCAUGAGAAUAAGGACCGGCUAACUACGU